CCACAGUAUGCUCUUUGUCUCCUGCCUGAAACCCAACUGACCCUGAUAAGCUUUUAUGAUCCUAGUUUUAUGAUGAGGAAAGGAACAUUCACAGGCCCAAUAUCACAGAGUCCUAACAAGCAUCAGGAUUUAACCUCAGAUAUCAUCACUCCAAGGACCAAUCCUUCCUCAGCUUCCCAUUCCAGAACCGGCAAAUGCAGCUGGCAGUUCUUCUCUGCUGGAAAAGACAGCCCUUCAGAGUUCAGCCCUGCGUUCUCCAGAGUGGCCAGGAGUGGGAGGUACUCAGGGACCAUUGAAAGACUGAACUACGUUAAGAUCCGCCAGCUCAACAUUCAACCUCUCCAUCAAAGGACCGCUGGGUCACCUCUGGAAAGUGAUGUAAACACCCAGAGCCUUAGAUCUUCCGUCUACAAAACAGAGAUGAAAAGAGUGACCUUCUAG
rnacentral:lncRNA from 1 species